AACACGGAGCUUGCUCUGUGGGAUCAGUGGCGAACGGGUGAGUAACACGUGAGCAACCUGCCCCUGACUCUGGGAUAAGCGCUGGAAACGGCGUCUAAUACUGGAUAUGUGACGUGACCGCAUGGUCUGCGUUUGGAAAGAUUUUUCGGUUGGGGAUGGGCUCGCGGCCUAUCAGCUUGUUGGUGAGGUAAUGGCUCACCAAGGCGUCGACGGGUAGCCGGCCUGAGAGGGUGACCGGCCACACUGGGACUGAGACACGGCCCAGACUCCUACGGGAGGCAGCAGUGGGGAAUAUUGCACAAUGGGCGGAAGCCUGAUGCAGCAACGCCGCGUGAGGGAUGACGGCCUUCGGGUUGUAAACCUCUUUUAGCAGGGAAGAAGCGAAAGUGACGGUACCUGCAGAGAAAGCGCCGGCUAACUACGUGCCAGCAGCCGCGGUAAU
rnacentral:rRNA from 1 species